UACGUAGGCAGCAAGCGUUGUUCGGAAUUACUGGGCGUAAAGAGUGUGUAGGCGGUGCUCUAAGUCUGUUGUGAAAUCUCCCGGCUUAACCGGGAGGGUGCGGCGGAAACUGGAGUGCUUGAGGGUGGGAGAGGUAAGCGGAAUUCCUGGUGUAGCGGUGAAUGACGUAGAUAUCAGGAGGAACACCUGUGGUGUAGACAGCUUACUGGACCACUUCUGACGCUGAGACACGAAAGCGUGGGUAGCAAACAGG
rnacentral:rRNA from 1 species